rnacentral:rRNA from 1 species
CAGCAGCCGCGGUAAUACGUAGGUGGCAAGCGUUGUCCGGAAUUAUUGGGCGUAAAGGGCUCGCAGGCGGUUUCUUAAGUCUGAUGUGAAAGCCCCCGGCUCAACCGGGGAGGGUUAUUGGAAACUGGGAAACUUGAGUGCAGAAGAGGAGAGUGGAAUUCCACGUGUAGCGGUGAAAUGCGUAGAGAUGUGGAGGAACACCAGUGGCGAAGGCGACUCUCUGGUCUGUAACUGACGCUGAGGAGCGAAAGCGUGGGGAGCGAACAGGAUUAGAUACCCUGUAGUCCCUGUCUCUUAUACA